UUGUAUUGCUUUUAUACUCGUUGAAAAUCAAAAUCCUGGAAAGAACGAAUCCAUAUCAGCAAAUUGGAUAUUUCUAGUCAUUUUAUAAAAGAUUUUCAAAUUCUUCUGUAGUCGAUUUAAAUAAUCUAAUCAGCCGUCUCCGAUUAGUUGUCAUUCGCGACCCUGUUGGAAUUCUCAUCUGACAUGGAUCUGACUUGGUAUUCACAAUCCUUUCGGUCAGCUUUGCUGGAAUUCUUAUCUAUUUAAAGAUUUGUCAAAAACAUAUAUACAGGUAAUAUUUGUAUUACAUCAACAGACAAUAUGAAUGGCAGUUGAAAGAAAUGUUUUGAAUGGCUGACUGGGGGUUUAUAGUGGAUCUCAUGAGGAUUGCUUUUUUAUCGGUGGAUGUUGUCUCUAGAGCUUUAGAAGAGCUUUCAUUCAGACUGAGGGAAGUGUUUUAGAUUCAAUGAAAUUUGCCAUUUAGCUGUCUGCAAUGGUUUUGUAACCUAUUGAGGGGCUUACAGGAUCUCUAUUUAUGGGCAAGCUUAGACAUCCUAAUUUCUGCUGUUUUGAGAUGAUGCGACUUACAAUGUUUUAUUAGAUCGUCAAAGGUUCAAUUAAGAGUUGUUGAGGUGCCUUCUAUUUAUGUUCUCAUGUGUAAACCACGCAUGCUCACACCAUGUUUCAUCAAUUCAUUAUUUAUCAAUUUGGAGGAACACAAAAAUUGAGAUGCCUCAAUCUUCAAGGAUCUCUUGGAAAAAUAAGGGACUCUUUUGUGAACUAUGAGCAAAGAACGAGCCAUAAUGAACAGCUGAUACUUCAAAUGUAUGCUGCUAGAAAAAAAACCAAUGUACAUUUUGGGAAAAGAUAUGUUCAACAAGUUGCAAAAGUUUUUAAAUUAGACAAUUGUGCAUAUAAAAAUAGGCACUUGAGAAUUUUCCCAGUUUGUUUCCAUAUAUGUGAAGUUUGAUCUCUUGGAUUUGGAUAUAUUCCAUUCUGCCGCUUUCACCGAUCUUCAUUUAUUUUUGGAGGCCCAAUUUUCAACGGACAGAUUGGGAUUAAUUUUUAACAACAAAGAAUUUUUGGGGCAAAGUUAUUGUUGGUGGGUGAAAAACCAAAAAGGGAAGAAUAGAGAAGCAGCUAGCAGAACAAUUCAGAAGAACAGAGAAGAGUUACAACCUACAGCAGCAGCUUUAGAAAACAUUUGUAGACCAGCAGUAGCUCUAGAAAGAGCAUACGCAGCAGCUCCAGAGAGAGCACACACAACAGCAAACAAAACUAUGUUGUAGAUUAUUUUUGUAGUGUGUUUGGAAACAUUUUUUACAAAUUAUUUUAUUUAUAAAAAAAUCUUUUCUCUGACUUUAGAGAACUGUUUCCUUC